rnacentral:rRNA from 1 species
CGUGAAAUUGUUGAAAGGGAAGCGCUUGCGGUCAGAACUUUAUCAUAGUUGUUCAACCGAUCAUUUUUUGAUCGGCCCAUUCUUCUAUGAUAGGGCCAACAUCGGUUUAAAUGGUUGGAUAAAGGCCCUAAGAAUGUGACCCUUUGGGGUGUUAUAGCUUUGGGUACAAUAUGACCUAUUUAGACCGAGGGAAGCGAAUUUUUCCAGGAUGUUGGCAUAAUGGUUGCAAGCGGCCCGUCUUGAAACACGG